rnacentral:lncRNA from 1 species
AUGUCUUCCCUACUCCAAGGCCAGGUCUCCAGCCAUGCUGCCUUUUUUGGUUAUGUUCUGCCCAGCCCACCACACUCACACACACAGACACUCUCUGUCUCUGUCUCUCUGUCUCUGUCUCUCCCUCCCUCUGUCUCUCUUUCUUUCUUUCUCCCUCUGUCUCUCCCUCCCUCUCUCUCCCCCUCUCUGUCUCUGUUUCUCUCUGUCUCUCUCUUUUUCUCUCUGUCUCUCUUUUUCUUUCUGUCUCUCUUCUGUCUCUCUCUCUCCCCCCCAUCUCUGUUUCUCUCUGUCUCUCUCUUUUUCUCUCUGUCUCUCUCUCUUUUUCUUUCUGUCUCUCUUCUGUCUCUCUGUCUCUCCCUCUCUCUUUCUUCCUCUGUCUCUCUGAGUGUCUCUGUCUCUCUUUUUUUCUCUGUCUCUCUGAGUGUCUCUCUUUGUCUCUCUCUUAUUCCUCAAGCUCACA